rnacentral:rRNA from 1 species
GCUGCGGUAAUACGGAGGGGGUUAGCGUUGUUCGGAAUUACUGGGCGUAAAGCGUACGUAGGCGGGUUGUUAAGUUAGAGGUGAAAUCCCAGGGCUCAACCCUGGAACUGCCUUUAAUACUGGCAACCUAGAGUUCGAGAGAGGUGAGUGGAAUUCCGAGUGUAGAGGUGAAAAUUCGUAGAUAUUCGGAGGAACACCAGUGGCGAAGGCGGCUCACUGGCUCGAUACUGACGCUGAGGUACGAAAGUGUGGGGAGCAAACAGGAUUAGAUACCCUGGUAGUCCACACCGUAAACGAUGAACACUAGGUGUCGGGGGAAUCGACCCCCUCGGUGUCGUAGCCAACGCGUUAAGUGUUCCGCCUGGGGAGUACGCACGCAAGUGUGAAACUCAAAGGAAUUGACGGGGGCCCGCACAAGCGGUGGAGUAUGUGGUUUAAUUCGAUGCAACGCGAAGAACCUUACCAGGGUUUGACAUCCUGCGAACCUCUUGGAAACGAGAGGGUGCCUUCGGUGACCUAGUGACAGGUGCUGCAUGGCU